rnacentral:piRNA from 1 species
UACGCAUGCAUAUUUACUCAAGACUGCUG